rnacentral:rRNA from 1 species
CCUACGGGAGGCAGCAGUGGGGAAUAUUGGACAAUGGGCGAAAGCCUGAUCCAGCAAUGCCGCGUGAGUGAUGAAGGCCUUAGGGUUGUAAAGCUCUUUUACCAGGGAUGAUAAUGACAGUACCUGGAGAAUAAGCUCCGGCUAACUCCGUGUCAGCAGCCGCGGUAAUACGGAGGGAGCUAGCGUUAUUCGGAAUUACUGGGCGUAAAGCGUACGUAGGCGGUUAUUCAAGUCAGAGGUGAAAGCCCGGGGCUCAACCCCGGAACUGCCUUUGAAACUAGAUAACUAGAGUCUUGGAGAGGUUAGUGGAAUUCCGAGUGUAGAGGUGAAAUUCGUAGAUAUUCGGAAGAACACCAGUGGCGAAGGCGACUAACUGGACAAGUACUGACGCUGAGGUACGAAAGCGUGGGGAGCAAACAGGAUUAGAUACCCUGGUAGUCCACGCCGUAAACGAUGAUAACUAGCUGUCCGGGCACUUGGUGCCUGGGUGGCGCAGCUACGACAUAAGUUAUCCGUCCGUCGGGUAGGUACGGUCGCGAGAAGUUAAAACGUUAAAGUAAGUAAGUUAGUACGGACGUGUAAGUACGUGUUCCGAACGACGACGACGAAGGGAGGAGG